CCCCCAUACCCUCACACCCCUGCAGUUGCACAACGCAUACAGUGUUUUACCUUUUUUGCCCAAUCGAUUGUUACCAAAAAAAAACAUGCGUGUGCUCGUCGGUGUAACUACUCCCCUUCGAUUAUUAUAAAACCCCUUGUUUGCUGUGUUUUUUUGUACGUCCUACAUUUCAGUUCGCCUUUCAAAAACAUUUAACUUAUAACUUUUGUUAUUUAGCGGAUGCUCCACGGUUUCAGGAAAGUAUUUUUAAUAUAAAUAUUCUGACGGUUCUUUAUUUUAAUGUAUGUAAUCAUUCUCACCCUGCUGCAUAUUCAAGACACACUGGCCUGUUUCUUUCGCUCCAUAAUUACCUUGCUGCAUUCACCGGGAAAAGUGCAUGUGUUUGUUUAUUUGUGUGUGUGUGUGUGUGUGUGUGCGUGUGCGUGUGCGAGAACUACCCUUACUGUGUGUUGCUUAUAAAAUCUUAGAUCUAGGGGUGUGUUCUGAGGAGCGUGCUAGGUCACUGAGCAGUGUGCGGCAGUUUGAUAGAAAAUAACCGUUGCCAAGAGAACAGUGUUCUCGGGGGCUGACAAAAGCGCUCUCUCUUGUUUAACUCUUUUAAUUAGCACGGGGAGAACGCUUGUCCUCGAGGGCUUGGAGUUCACCGGCUCUUCCUGGGUGAUACACACACAUUCACACGUGACACUUAACGGCAUACACAGGCACACACACGCAGACAGACUUGAAUACACAUAUGAAUACACCCAGAAACAUGCACACACAUUCACACAGACGCACAGAUACACACACACACACACACACACACACACACACACACACACACACACACACACACACACACACACACACACACACACACACACACACACACAGACAAACAGCUAGGCACACGCACAUCAGUCCGUCUAACAAGAGUGAAGGAAAACGAGUAAAAAACGCAAGGCCUCGGGUUGAUAAAUUAUCAUUUUGACAAUGUUUUAAAGUUUUUUCUUGCUGUGCCACUGUGUGGCUUAUGUGCGUACAAUGGUGGCUGAGUAGGUAUUUUGGAAUGCCCACGUGUGUGUGUGUGUGUGUGUGUGUGUGUGUGUGUGUGUGUGUGUGUGUGUGUGUGUGUGUGUGUGUGUGUGUGUGUGUGUGUGUGACAUGCAGUGACAUCAAUGAUGAUUACGCCAUCCUCCUCAAAUGGGGCAACGGCCUCUAAAGCAGGGGCUUCCCAAACUUGUUAAUGCCGUGAGGUACUUUCAGGCACAGAGCCAGGCCCAUGAGUCACCUAAAAUAAGCAAUACAUUCUCACAACUAGGUCAAAACAGCUAGAGAGCUUGCAUGUAUCUAUGUCCAUUGUUCAUCUUUAUAGUAUUGACCACCUUUCACUCCUCAAACGUACUUCUGUAAUUAAAUAUAUGUUUUUUGGAAAUGUUACAAAAAACGUUUAUGGUGGGAAUCCCGUCACUUGGACCCUCUUGGGUUGCAAACGAGUUUGGAAGCCACUACUGUAUAGGACAGGAGGAGACAGACAAUCAUGCACUUAGUACACACACACACACGCACACACUUCCUUUUGGGAGCGGUACCUGACUGCUUUUCCGAUACACUUACAAACACACACACAUACACGCACACAUACACACAAACAUAAAUACAUCCGCGCGACUUACGGGACAAAUCCGUCUGAUUGAUCCUCAACUAAAAUUGUUGGGGAGAAUGUAUCGUGGAGUGUUGCAGUUCUCCGUGUCUGACUACUGAGCACCGAAUGAGGACAGUGUGGGGAAAGAUUUGUGUUAUCAUGAAACACUUUCUGAGACUUUCUUGGGAGUUUUGCUUUGAAUUGAGAGGUCUACUCAGAGCAUUAGACAGCAGACGUUUACUGUCGUGCAUCGUUGCAGAGGGGAGACUGGAUUAAAUGUAUUUGAUAAUUUACCUUCUUCCUUUACUUCUUUACUCUUUUUUUCUCUAUCCUUCUUUUCCUUUAUUUCCCGUCCUUCAUCCUGCCAACAAGUUACCUGUCCUUAUUGCUUUACUUUGAAGCAAAAUAAGUCAAAUUAAUAUUUUAAGAGAAUUCUCUUGAUCUGAUGGUUGACCCAACAUAUAAAGAGACACACCCACCUACAAACCAAUAUCUCACACAGACACACACAGACACACGCACACGCACAAACGCACGCUGUGUGUGCCCAAAUAGCUUAUAUCCCUUUUGACUUUGAUAUAGAAUCUCAAAAUAAAAUGCUGGUAGCACUUUAUUAUAAAGUUCAGUCAGUAAUUUAGGUAAUGAUGAUCAUUCAUAAUCUAUAAGUUCUUAUCAAUGAUAAGUUAAUUGCCAAAGGCUUAUAAAUGACCAGAAAUGCCACUGUCUAAGGAAUACAAACCAGUGCAUCGCCCACAGUUGGGUGCGUUGCUCAAGAGAAGCAUGAGGAGUCCUGCCAGCAACCUCCAGAGAUGUUUUAUUGGUCCAGACAUGAGUGCAAUCAACUUGCUCAGUGCAUUUACAUAGCAAAAAACACACUAACCAAAACUUUAUUUUGUAAACUUGGAAUUGUCAACCAAUGGUGUUCUGGGACACCUGACGCAGGCAUGGUUCACACUCAAGUCUAGGUCAUUGCUGCCUGUUCCCCUGCCUGGUGCUGCUGUUGCUGCUAUGGCGGCGCCAGUGUUGUUAUGCGUCAAACUGGCCCUCUGGAGAGUGUCAUUGUUUUAUUGAUGGAAGAAUUACCCGGCCGGGAGGUGAGGGUUUGGGGGGAGGAUGGGGAGGGGGGGCGUUUCUCAAGCUAAUCAAAGCCAUUUGUACCAUGGUUACUCAAUGGACCACUUAGUCUUUCGACUCUAGGCAUGGUAAUAUACUAUUUUCCAUAUAGCUAACUGGACUGAACUUAAGGACAGCAGAGGUGUUUACCAUAUUUAACAUGUAUAUGUGGUACAUGUAUUAAAAAGUUAUCUUACAAAUGC
ensembl:lncRNA